rnacentral:lncRNA from 1 species
CCGCAUAAAAAAAUAUAUUUUUUUCAAACCCAACCCAGCCCGAACCCGUGGUUGACUAAGUUGGCCUGCAGGUAACCCAUUUUGACAGCUCUAUUUAAAGGUAGGGCGUUGAUCCCUGCAUCUCCACCUUUUAGAGCUCCACCUCCCCAUUUUUUUUUUAAUUUUCAUUAAUUACAAAAGUAAUCUUUUUUUAUUUUUUAUUUUUAUUUUUUUAACCCUCUUAAAAAGUAACCCUAAUUUUUACUUUACUUUCUACUUCAUUUUUACUUUGAC